AAAAAACAAAGGCUGAAUCUAGGAUACCUAGAGCGGGGGAUCUUUUUUUAUGGGGUGAAACGCAUACCAAUAUGCGUAGGGCUUACACCUUGUGCCCGAAUCCGUCAACUAACCUCGUAAGCUGAGAAAGGUGAAAGA
rnacentral:sRNA from 2 species